rnacentral:rRNA from 1 species
UACCAGCACCCCGAGUGGUCGGGACGUUUUAUUGGGCCUAAAGCAUCCGUAGCCGGUUCUACAAGUCUUCCGUUAAAUCCAACUGCUUAACAGGUGGGCUGCGGAAGAUACUAUAGAGCUAGGAGGCGGGAGAGGCAAGCGGUACUCGAUGGGUAGGGGUAAAAUCCGUUGAUCCAUUGAAGACCACCAGUGGCGAAGGCGGCUUGCCAGAACGCGCUCGACGGUGAGGGAUGAAAGCUGGGGGAGCAAACCGGG